rnacentral:rRNA from 1 species
AGCGGCGGAUGGGUGAGUAACACGUGGGGAACCUGCCCCUAAGUCUGGGAUACCAUUUGGAAACAGGUGCUAAUACCGGAUAAUAAAGCAGAUCGCAUGAUCAGCUUUUGAAAGGCGGCGUAAGCUGUCGCUAAGGGAUGGCCCCGCGGUGCAUUAGCUAGUUGGUAAGGUAACGGCUUACCAAGGCGACGAUGCAUAGCCGAGUUGAGAGACUGAUCGGCCACAUUGGGACUGAGACACGGCCCAAACUCCUACGGGAGGCAGCAGUAGGGAAUCUUCCACAAUGGACGCAAGUCUGAUGGAGCAACGCCGCGUGAGUGAAGAAGGUUUUCGGAUCGUAAAGCUCUGUUGCUGGUGAAGAAGGAUAGAGGUAGUAACUGGCCUUUAUUUGACGGUAAUCAACCAGAAAGUCACGGCUAACUACGUGCCAGCAGCCGCGGUAAUACGUAGGUGGCAAGCGUUGUCCGGAUUUAUUGGGCGUAAAGCGAGCGCAGGCGGAAAAAUAAGUCUAAUGUGAAAGCCCUCGGCUUAACCGAGGAACUGCAUCGGAAACUGUUUUUCUUGAGUGCAGAAGAGGAGAGUGGAACUCCAUGUGUAGCGGUGGAAUGCGUAGAUAUAUGGAAGAACACCAGUGGCGAAGGCGGCUCUCUGGUCUGCAACUGACGCUGAGGCUCGAAAGCAUGGGUAGCGAACAGGAUUAGAUACCCUGGUAGUCCAUGCCGUAAACGAUGAGUGCUAAGUGU